UACAGAGGUCCCAAGCGUUGUUCGGAUUCAUUGGGCGUAAAGGGUGCGUAGGCGGCGCGGUAAGUCGGGUGUGAAAUCUCGGGGCUUAACUCCGAAACUGCAUUCGAUACUGCCGUGCUUGAGGACUGGAGAGGAGACUGGAAUUUACGGUGUAGCAGUGAAAUGCGUAGAUAUCGUAAGGAAGACCAGUGGCGAAGGCGGGUCUCUGGACAGUUCCUGACGCUGAGGCACGAAGGCCAGGGGAGCAAACGGG
rnacentral:rRNA from 1 species